GGAAAUACUGAGCAGCAGGCCAGAAAUAAACCCACCACGGAUCCUGGAUUUUAUGGAACCUACGGCGAUCUCCAGCCUGUUAAAUAGCAAUGAGGAAUGCAUGGAAUACACCGACACUUUGAUGAUGAUGAUGCUGGGUCAAUCAUAAAUGUGCAUGUGUUUAUAGACUCCCAUCAAACCCAGGAGCUUAUCUCGUGUAGAAGUGGAGAUUCCCCAGAGCUUAAAAAUUAAUCCAGCUGUGGCUUAUCCCAACAGGGCAUGGUUGAACAAUCAGGACAAACAGGAAUGACUUUAAGAGCUUUCUAUUUGAACUUUUGCACAACACAGAGAUUGUAAACAUUGUAUACAUACAGUUGUUAUCUUUCAGUAGCAUCUGACAUCCAAAGAUUAAGUAUGGAUAUGAAUAAGGGUUAAUAGCAAUGCAGCAAACAUAUCACCACUAUGAACAGACAACAAUUCUCAAAUAAGAGAUACCUUUUUUAAUGCUCUUUAAGUCAGUUAUCAAUGAGAUCUGCAGGUAUUCAUUCAAUGCGUUAAACAAGGUCAACAGAAUUACUAUCGGCCAUAGCACAUGCUGAUUAUUUAUGUUUAUUGCGCCUCCCAUAAGUGUUUUUUUUUUUUUUUUUUUUUGCUUUUUUAAUCAAUUUCGGCACUGUAGAACAUGGGGCUUUAGUUAUAAUAAAAGGGUGUUUUACUGCUGUACUUUUGUUCAUAAAUAAAAAGCCAUUCAGUGGAUAAAAGUACAUUUCAGCACUAAUCGACUUUACAGAAAGACCAAUUUAAUAGUGUGCAUGUCUUAUAGGUAUUAUCUUGGUCCAUUUUUAUUUAUUCUUAAGUAUAAGUAUAGUAGAACUGCUGGUCUGUUUGGAAUCUUUCCAUGAUCUGCUGUGUUGAAAUAAUUAAAUAACACUAAAUUUGAGACUAAAUUAUUGCGUUCUUUUAAUACAAUAUAAUUUAUAAUGUGUUAAUACGUACAGUUGACCGGGUGCAAGAAAAUCCCCAGUAUGCUAAAUGUAGUUUAUUAUAUAAAAAAAGAAGCCAUUAUUCUCUAUUACUUUGAUCUUGUUUAACAAAUGAUAAUUUCUACACAUUGUUUAUGUGGUGAAUUGCAUGUUGGCAUUAUUAUUAAACCUUAUUCAAUUCCUAGUGUGCACUAUUCCCCAUUGUCUGCUAAUUUCAAUGCUAUUCAAAAGGUAAAAGAUACACUUAAAAAAACAGAUACAAUACUAUUUCAAACUUAGUACCACUACACUUCAAAACAGUAAAGUUAUCGGAGAGAGGUCAUAUGGAAGUAUACCAUUGAAAACGCAAAGGU